rnacentral:rRNA from 1 species
GACGAACGCUGGCGGCGUGCCUAAUACAUGCAAGUUGAGCGAUGAAGCUUGGUGCUUGCCCCAAUUUGAAGAGCAGCGAACGGGUGAGUAACGCGUGGGGAAUCUGCCUUUGAGCGGGGGACAACAUUUGGAAACGAAUGCUAAUACCGCAUAAUAACUUUAAACAUAAGUUUUAAGUUUGAAAGAUGCAAUUGCAUCACUCAAAGAUGAUCCCGCGUUGUAUUAGCUAGUUGGUGAGGUAAAGGCUCACCAAGGCGAUGAUACAUAGCCGACCUGAGAGGGUGGUCGGCUACAUUGGGACUGAGACACGGCCCAAACUCCUACGGGAGGCAGCAGUAGGGAAUCUUCGGCAAUGGACGAAAGUCUGACCGAGCAACGCCGCGUGAGUGAAGAAGGUUGUCGGAUCGUAAAACUCUGUUGGUAGAGAAGAACGUUGGUGAGAGUGGAAAGCUCAUCAAGUGACGGUAACUACCCAGAAAGGGACGGCUAACUACGUG